rnacentral:rRNA from 1 species
GACGAACGCUGGCGGCGUGCUUAACACAUGCAAGUCGAACGGAAAGGCCCUGCUCUUGUGGGAUGCUCGAGUGGCGAACGGGUGAGUAACACGUGAGUAACCUGCCCCUGACUUUGGGAUAACUUCAGGAAACUGGGGCUAAUAUCGGAUAGGAGCUCCUGCUGCAUGGUGGGGGUUGGAAAGUUUCGGCGGUUGGGGAUGGACUCGCGGCCUAUCAGCUUGUUGGUGGGGUAGUGGCUUACCAAGGCUUUGACGGGUAGCCGGCCUGAGAGGGUGACCGGCCACAUUGGGACUGAGAUACGGCCCAGACUCCUACGGGAGGCAGCAGUGGGGAAUAUUGCACAAUGGGCGGAGGCCGGAUGCAGCAACGCCGGGUGCGGGAUGACGGCCUUCGGGUUGUAAACCGCUUUCGCCUGUGACGAAGCGUGAGUGACGGUAAUGGGUAAAGAAGCACCGGCUAACUACGUG